CACACGACUCUCGGCAACGGAUAUCUCGGCUCUCGCAUCGAUGAAGAACGUAGCGAAAUGCGAUACCUGGUGUGAAUUGCAGAAUCCCGCGAACCAUCGAGUCUUUGAACGCAAGUUGCGCCCGAGUCCAUUUGGCCGAGGGCACGCCUGCCUGGGCGUCACGC
rnacentral:rRNA from 1 species